rnacentral:rRNA from 1 species
GACGAACGCUUGCGGCGUGCCUAAUACAUGCAAGUUGAGCGCUGAAGGUUGGUACUUGUACCGACUGGAUGAGCAGCGAACGGGUGAGUAACGCGUGGGGAAUCUGCCUUUGAGCGGGGGACAACAUUUGGAAACGAAUGCUAAUACCGCAUAAAAACUUUAAACACAAGUUUUAAGUUUGAAAGAUGCAAUUGCAUCACUCAAAGAUGAUCCCGCGUUGUAUUAGCUAGUUGGUGAGGUAAAGGCUCACCAAGGCGAUGAUACAUAGCCGACCUGAGAGGGUGAUCGGCCACAUUGGGACUGAGACACGGCCCAAACUCCUACGGGAGGCAGCAGUAGGGAAUCUUCGGCAAUGGACGAAAGUCUGACCGAGCAACGCCGCGUGAGUGAAGAAGGUUUUCGGAUCGUAAAACUCUGUUGGUAGAGAAGAACGUUGGUGAGAGUGGAAAGCUCAUCAAGUGACGGUAACUACCCAGAAAGGGACGGCUAACUACGUG